rnacentral:rRNA from 1 species
GAGUUUGAUCCUGGCUCAGAUUGAACGCUGGCGGCAGGCUUAACACAUGCAAGUCGAACGGUAACAUGAGUGCUUGCACUUGAUGACGAGUGGCGGACGGGUGAGUAAGGUAUGGGGAUCUGCCGAAUGGAGAGGGACAACAGUUGGAAACGACUGCUAAUACCUCAUAAAGUUGAGAGACCAAAGCGUGGGACCUUCGGGCCACGUGCCAUUUGAUGAACCCAUAUGGGAUUAGCUAGUUGGUGGGGUAAUAGCUCACCAAGGCGACGAUCUCUAGCUGGUCUGAGAGGAUGACCAGCCACACUGGAACUGAGACACGGUCCAGACUCCUACGGGAGGCAGCAGUGGGGAAUAUUGCACAAUGGGGGAAACCCUGAUGCAGCCAUGCCGCGUGUAUGAAGAAGGCCUUCGGGUUGUAAAGUACUUUCGGUAAUGAGGAAGGUGUUGUAUCUAAUAGGUGCAGCAAUUGACGUUAAUUACAGAAGAAGCACCGGCUAACUCCGUGCCAGCAGCCGCGGUAAUACGGAGGGUGCGAGCGUUAAUCGGAAUGACUAGGCGUAAAGGGCAUGUAGGCGGAUGAUUAAGUUAGGUGUGAAAGCCCUGGGCUCAACCUAGGAAUUGCACUUAAAACUGGUUAUCUGGAGUAUUGUAGAGGAAGGUAGAAUUCCACGUGUAGCGGUGAAAUGCGUAGAGAUGUGGAGGAAUACCGGUGGCGAAGGCGGCCUUCUGGACAGAUACUGACGCUGAGAUGCGAAAGCGUGGGGAGCAAACAGGAUUAGAUACCCUGGUAGUCCACGCUGUAAACGAUGUCGAUUUGGAGUUUGUUGCCUAGAGUGAUGGGCUCCGAAGCUAACGCGAUAAAUCGACCGCCUGGGGAGUACGGCCGCAAGGUUAAAACUCACAUGAAUUGACGGGGGCCCGCACAAGCGGUGGAGCAUGUGGUUUAAUUCGAUGCAACGCGAAGAACCUUACCUGGUCUUGACAUCCACAGAAUCUUUCUGAGAUGAGGGAGUGCCUUCGGGAACUGUGAGACAGGUGCUGCAUGGCUGUCGUCAGCUCGUGUUGUGAAAUGUUGGGUUAAGUCCCGCAACGAGCGCAACCCUUAUCCUUUGUUGCCAGCGAUUAGGUCGGGAACUCAAAGGAGACUGCCGUUGAUAAAACGGAGGAAGGUGGGGACGACGUCAAGUCAUCAUGGCCCUUACGACCAGGGCUACACACGUGCUACAAUGGCGUAUACAAAGGGAGGCGA